CAGUAGCCGCGGGAAUACGAAGGGUGCAAGCGUUAAUCGGAAUUACUGGGCGUAAAGCGCGCGUAGGUGGUUUGGUAAGAUGGAUGUGAAAUCCCCGGGCUCAACCUGGGAACUGCAUCCAUAACUGCCUGACUAGAGUACGGUAGAGGGUGGUGGAAUUUCCUGUGUAGCGGUGAAAUGCGUAGAUAUAGGAAGGAAAACCAGUGGCGAAGGCGACCACCUGGACUGAUACUGACACUGAGGUGCGAAAGCGUGGGGAGCAAACAGGAUUAGAUACCCCCGUAGUCCCUGUCUCUUAUAC
rnacentral:rRNA from 1 species